ACCGGCAGCUCGAGUGGUCGUCGCUUUUAUUGGGCCUAAAACGUCCGUAGCCUGUUUGGUAAAUCUGUGGGUAAAUCAACGAGCUCAACUCGUUGAAUUCUGCAGAGACUGCCAGACUAGGGACCGGGAGAGGUAUGAGGUACUCUGGGGGUAGGGGUAAAAUCCUGUCAUCCUCAGAGGACCACCUGUUGCGAAGGCGUCAUACUGGAACGGAUCCGACGGUCAGGGACGAAGCCUAGGGGCACGAACCGG
rnacentral:rRNA from 1 species